AGGAGAACCAAUGAGAGUUCUCACCUGAUGAUCGUUAACAGUCCGCAAACAUGCUGCACCAUGAUGACAAACAUUGUAUCUGUCGCAACACCUAUGGUCACAAUAAUGGCGACCAUGAUAUAUCCGUGAAGCAAAAUUGCCGAUGUUCAGAUAUGAUCGAUCACGUUUCAACGUCCCCCGGCUUGGGAACUUCUCCGAUGUUCUGCGUAACGUCGACAUUCGUUUCCUUACACACGUCGGAAAGGAUAUUAUCUUCGCACGAACGCAUGUGGAAUUGGCUGUCAUUAUGUCAAAAUGACAUUCGCAGUAAGUUCGUCGAUUUGUUACAAAUACAUGCACAGCUAGUACUCUUCUGAUAUCCGUGGAAAAUUGCGAUUUUCUUUGGGUACAAAGACGUGAGCGACUCUUGUAAACGUCCUGGUGUUUGAAAUAUAAAACAAUUUAAAAAAGAACUUUGAGCGAGUUUAUUUAUAGGAUAUAUUCUAUAUGUUAGAUAAAUAAACAAUAAGUAUAUAUUUACAUUAUAUAUUUGUUCACGUUAGAUAAGUGAACAAGAAGUAUAUUUAUGUAAAACUGUUUAAUGGAAUGUUAUAUAAAAUGUUGAUAAAGGAGUAUGAGAUGUGCGUUGUACGUUCGAAUGAUUCGAUUUAGAAAUUUUCAGCACGCAUUCUCUCUCUUUCUGAUUUGAUCUUUCUAAUUUUGGACAUUCUCUUGUUAAUUGCCUUCAUCUGUUAGGUUUCCAGGGCUUUUACGGACACGCCGUACUUUUACAAAUAUCCAGUUUGUUUUAAGCGUCACAGCAUUUAUACAAUGUAUAUUUUUACCGUUUUUUUACAUCACAUGAUGAAGACGAAGAAGGAGCCGUUAUUAUGCCGGUCCUGCGAGUUAUCCUUUGAACGUGACAUGCGAAGAGAGGCAGUUCGAUAGCUCCACAACCGCCGAGGACAAUUCGUGUUUCUCAUCGGAACUCGACCUUCUAAAUCCGAGAGUGACACGGUCUUGUCGAAGUCGCGAGUCACGCGUCCAGCAUUAAGGAACGAGGUGAACGAUCAAUUGAAUCUCCUCGAGCCGCCAUCGAGAUCGUCACGUUGUUGUCAGGGUCGUUCGUUGACAGAAAAAUCGCAGCAAAAUUACGUAAGUGAUGCACAGAAGAAGUUACCUUACGUGGAAACCAAUUACAACUUAAAAAACUCAACUCAACUGAGUACGAAAUUUAUACCAGAAAUGGCAGAGAAGCAGCCGGCUCAAUCAACGGCUCAUCAGCUACCAUCGAUGAAUGAAGUACCACUCGCCUCACUAGGUUUACUAGGACUAGGUUAGACUAGGACAAACGAGCAACCAAUCAAUUGGGAAAAUAUAAUUCUCCCGGAAAAGACAGAUUUGUAUCGGGAAUUAGCUAAGCGUAUCACCAACUACAAAAAUGCCGAUUGCGUCAUC